rnacentral:lncRNA from 1 species
CGUGAUCCCCAACAAGCUCCUCGGCGUGCUCUCCAUGGCCGCGGUGCCCGUCGGUCUCAUCACCGUGCCCUUCCUGGAGUCCAUCAACAAGUUCCAGAACCCCUUCCGCCGCCCCGUGGCCACCUCCGUCUUCCUCAUCGGCACCUUCUACGCCAUCUGGAUGGGCAUCGGCGCCACCAUGCCCAUCGACAAGGCCAUCUCCCUUGGCGUCUUCUAAAUUGCUUAUCCUUAGGCUAUUUCUUGGGCGGGGACGCGCUUGGGCGCCAGGCAUGGCGUGAGCGCGUUUUGUACGUGGGUGCGGUGAGCUUUGGUUCCGUUCGAUUAGCGUAGACGCUGGAAUGCUG